CAGUAGCCGCGGGAAUACGGAGGGUGCAAGCGUUAUCCGGAUUUAUUGGGUUUAAAGGGUCCGUAGGCGGAUCUGUAAGUCAGUGGUGAAAUCUCACAGCUUAACUGUGAAACUGCCAUUGAUACUGCAGGUCUUGAGUAAAUUUGAAGUGGCUGGAAUAAGUAGUGUAGCGGUGAAAUGCAUAGAUAUUACUUAGAACACCAAUUGCGAAGGCAGGUCACUAAGAUUUAACUGACGCUGAUGGACGAAAGCGUGGGGAGCGAACAGGAUUAGAUACCCGUGUAGUCCCUGUCUCUUAUAC
rnacentral:rRNA from 1 species